GGGGGGAGCGAGCGUUGUUCGGAAUUACUGGGCGUAAAGGGCGCGUAGGCGGCCGAGUAAGUCGCGUGUGAAAGGCCGGGGCUCAACCCCGAGCACUGCACGCGAUACUGCCCGGCUAGAGAGAGGUAGAGGCGAGCGGAAUUCCCGGUGUAGCGGUGGAAUGCGUAGAUAUCGGGAAGAACACCUGUGGCGAAGGCGGCUCGCUGGGCCUUUUCUGACGCUGAAGCGCGAAAGCGUGGGGAGCAAACAGGGAUUAGAUACCCUGGUAGUCCACGCCGUAAACGUUGGGCACUAGGUGUCGGGAGGCUUGGUCCUCUCGGUGUCGUAGCUAACGCGUUAAGUGCCCCGCCUGGGGAGUACGGUCGCAAGGCUG
rnacentral:rRNA from 1 species